AGCGGGGUUGAGCAGCCAGGAGUGCUCGUCGGGCUCAUAACCCGAAGGUCGGCAGUUCAAAUCUGCCCCCCGCUA
rnacentral:tRNA from 1 species